AUCCGUCCUUAUAGAGGAUGGAUGCUGCUGAUUGAACAGUAGGGGGAGCCGGAGAGCACAGCUCCUCUCAGGCAGUCUGCAUGUGGCUUUGUGACGGAGAGCUGGUCGGGUGAGGCAGUGACUGUCUCUCUACUGACUGCAACAUCUAGAAGUGCAGACGACCCGGCACUCCUCACGCUCCCCAGCGUCACGCUUGUGCUCCCGUGCCCUCACCUCCUGGGACCUGGAUCCCAUAAAUGGCAAUGCAAAUAAGUGCGGCACUGGGAGACUUGUAACUGAAGCCUGGAAGUGUGGAGAUUCCCACCACCCCAGACCUCAGCAUCAUCCACAAUACGGAGGAAUCCCAGCCCUAAGUUCCUACCUCUGAAACACCAGCUACCCCUGAUACCUCUGCAUCACCAGCUCCUCCGCUGCGCCCCCGGAAGAGAACCCCCCCCUUUCCCCCCCAAAAAAAACACCGCCCAGGAGGGCAAAGACCUCAUUUUUGAGGAAAUCAAGUCAAGACUUGCCCAGCCCCCCCAACCACCACCACCACCACCACUACUCAAAAUUUGGGCAAUGCGUAACCUACCCCGGGUCAAGCGGAGCAGAUUCAGCGUCUCAAUUUAAAGAUGCUGAACAAAGCACGAAAAUCAAAACUACAUGAUGAUGUCGUACUAUUCGACCGCCGUCCUUUCACUCUUCCUCCCAUCCAACACCAUCCUAUUCCACCCACCCAACCCCAUCUCAUUCAUCCCACCCAACCACAGCCUACUCCCCCACACACCUGCUUCUCAGCCAUAUACUCUGCUGUGCUGGAGGCUUGGGAGGACAUGCCCCAGUUUAAAAAUUUGUAGGCUUCUUAUAAUUCCCAAUAAAUAUGUUGCGGUAUAGGCUAUAUGGUGUUUUGGAGGCAGAUUUUUGGGGGAGGAUACACGCAUGCUGUAGGUGCAUAAUAGUGGGGCCGGGCCCAUUCAUUCUGCACUUUACAGCAUGUGUGUAUUCUCCCAAUCCAAUCUGUGCCCAAAACACCAUAUAGCCCUCCAUGUUAGGAGUGAAAGUACCGCCCCAUAUUUAUUGGGAAUUAGAACAUUGUCAAGGGUGUUGUUUUAAAGUUAUUAAUUCCCAAUAAAUUGUUGCGGUAUAGGCUAUAUGGUGUUUUGGGGGCAUAUUUUUGGGGGAGGAUACACGCAUGCUGUAGGUGCAUAAUAGUGGGGCCAGGCCCAUUCAUUCUGCACUUUAAUGCAUGUGUGUAUUCUCCCAAUCAAAUCUGUGCCCAAAACCCCAUAUAGCCCUCCGUCUUAGGAGUGAAAGUACUGCACCAUAUUUAUUGAGAAUUAAAAGUAAAAUAAACUGUUAUUUAAUCAUUUUAAUUAUUUCAUAUAUAUAUAUAUAUAUAUAUAUAUAUAUAUAUAUAUCCAAAUUGUGAUAUGAUGUUUUUUACACUUUUAUGUGCCUUGUUGGCACAUAAUUGCAUAAA